rnacentral:lncRNA from 1 species
AGCCUUUGAGCUAAGUGGUAUUAUUCCUGUUUUUUCAGAUGAGGAAACUGAGUCCCAGAGGAGUGGAGUACCUUGGUGAAGUUCACCCAGCACCUCCUGGAGCUGACAGGCUCUGCCUGGGAAGAGUGCCAGCACCCUAGAAGGCCUAGAUUCGCAGCUACACAAGUGGUGAGUGCUCGUGAGUUUCCACAGUAUUGAGAAAUAGUUCCGCUGGCUUAGCUCUGGAGAAAGAUUUUCUUGCUGCCCUUGCCUUGAUGUCUUUUUCAGAGGGGUUUUCUUGCGGACACCCAAC